rnacentral:rRNA from 1 species
CAGUAGCCGCGGGAAUACGAAGGGGGCUAGCGUUGUUCGGAUUUACUGGGCGUAAAGCGCACGUAGGCGGACUUUUAAGUCAGGGGUGAAAUCCCGGGGCUCAACCCCGGAACUGCCUUUGAUACUGGAAGUCUUGAGUAUGGUAGAGGUGAGUGGAAUUCCGAGUGUAGAGGUGAAAUUCGUAGAUAUUCGGAGGAACACCAGUGGCGAAGGCGGCUCACUGUACCAUUACUGACGCUGAGGUGCGAAAGCGUGGGGAGCAAACAGGAUUAGAUACCCCUGUAGUCCCUGUCUCUUAUAU